rnacentral:lncRNA from 1 species
AUAUUGCAAUAAAUCAAACAAAACGGUUUUUUGAAAAAUUUUAAUAGAGGUAAUCUUUUUUAACGAUGGAAACUAUGAAUAGAAAUUUGAUCGAUAAAUAAACGGAAAUAAGGGCAAAGUAUAUUUGGAUACAUAAAGGUUGGAAGACUAUAUUAUAUCUAUUUUCAGAUCCAAAAAUCAUUGUAUCUUUUUAUAUCAUGGAAUAUUCGAAUAACUAAGAAAUUUUUCAAUCAAAUAUCUUGUUGAGAUACUUUCGAAAAUGACUAGGAAUUAAAAAAAAAAAAAAAGGAAAAAACUUUAUUCUGAAGAUAGAUAUAAAUUAUUCAAACAAUUUACUUAAACGUGUUAGAAGCAACCAUGAAUAUUGAAAUAAAGAUGAAGAGUUCUUAUUACAUAUUUCAUCACGUCAUCAUAUACUGUAAUAGUGUUUUCCCAGUCAGGUAUUUAAGCAUCUACUUAGAUUAAGUAAAGUAGUACAAUUAUGCUCAGGCACAAUUGUGUGCAUAUAUGUCGAUCAAUUGUUAUCAAUUACGUCUUUAACGCUUAACGAGAUUCAAAUCAAAUUACUAAUAUUAAUAACUACAUGAAAUGAUUUGAGUUUUUUUCUCGAAAUAAGAGACUGGAAGAAAACGAAAAAAAAAAAAAAAAAAAUACAACUUUAGAAAAAGAAAAUGAAUAGUACAAAUGAUUGGAAUGUUCAAGAACACUCGUCGAAAUAAAAUAAGGACAGAAUGCAUCUAAACGUAUUGUGUGUAUAGUUCGUAUCAGUCGAUAUUUUACAACAGGCCUUGGAAUAUCGAUUUGGUAACUUCUAGACACGUGGCACCGUCAUUACGAUCGAUGUUACAAGAAUAUUUUAUCGAAACUAUAUUCGCAAACUAUUUACCUAUACCAUAGCUGAAUUUCAUCAUUCUAUUUGCAAAACAAUAGUCAAUACCCAAACAGGAGAAGGAAAUUCGCGAGAGAGUCGAGCAUGUAUAUGUAUUGCAGAAAGAGAAAAUGGAAGGAAAUUCUAUAAAUAGGAACUAUAUAGUUCGUGCAGUAGCUCGUAAUAUCGAAGAUAGAUCAGGUAGUAUGCAUUUUCGACAAUUUUCGAUUUAAUUUUCGAUUAAUAUUUUUUUUGCAGAAAGAAGUUAGAAUAUUGACAACGAGAAACUGAAUAGUGAAAAAGAAAAAUGAAGAAGAAAAAAAAAAUAAAGUAUAGAUAAGAGGAAAAUUGAUUUUUUUCGUAAUAGAGCUAUCAAGCUUUAAUCCUCUUGUUUAGACAUGGUAUGGAAAGAGGAUACUUGUAUCUGAAAGUGUGAAAGUAGAGAAGCGAGUAUUCUUUGAAAUAUCGCGUGAAAGAACAUAAUGUGGAAAAAUUGCGAAGAAAAGCAAGAAGAAAGAGAAAUGGAAAUCGGGAUAGAAAAUAAGAUAAAAAGAUCGAAUGGAAAGGAUAAGAAAUUUAAAAGAUUUUGUACGAUUGAAAGGAUGUUUCGCUUAAGUUUCCACGAAAUCUUGACACGGAAAGAAGCUGUACAGCACAAUUCUCGAGCACUCGUAACGUUAAAGUAGAGAGUAGAAUAAUAGGUACUUGAAACAGUUACGAAAUGGCAGCUCAGCUAGAUCUCGCACGCGAAUUUCUUCUCGAAUGAAAACUAUUUUGAUGUUAUUUUUAUACGAACUCUAUGUGAUUAGAGGAAACGAACAAACGAUAAGAGAUUGCAUAUAGUAUUUUGCAAUGACAAUAUUUUUUUAAAAGUUGUACGAUGGAGAGAACAAUGACCGAGAUACUGACUUAAAGUAACGAUCGACUGUAUUAAAUCCUCCUAACCUAAAUAACUUGGUAUGAUCACAAUCAUAACUCUAUAGUAAUAGUGAUUCUCUAAACGAAAAGUUUUAACAGGGAUAUCUUAGACACGCGAUGGCACGUUUAAAUUACGUAGAACCCAAAUACAGAGCAGUGAAUCUGCAAUCGUAACAGCUCUACGCCCGUGUCUAUAACGUCCCUCUAUUGGCGUUGAGUAGCUACCGAGCGAGGGCAAUCUCGCUAUUGAUUGCACCUUGCAUCCUCCCGCCCCUUUCUCCUGCCGCGAUCCCCUCUCCGCGACCAUCCUUCGUCCAUCCCAACCCUCAGGGCAACCCCUCCGAUUCCUCUUUUUCUCUACUACUUUCCUCUUUCCCUCGACUCUUUUCGAUUCGAAUUUGCCCCAAGCCAAGGGCCAAGAGACGCUCAGGAACGCACAUUUUAUUCUUUUAUUUCUUCGACGCAACAUACGGUUUCGAUUAUUAACUUUAUACGACAGAAAGUGAUACCAUUUUUUUUUAAAUUAUUACAAUAUUACAAUAUUAAUAAAUAUGUUUAUAAGAAACGAAAUUUAUUUCAAUAAUGAAUGUCUGAUUAUUUGAACUGUCGUUGAAUAUAUAAACAAUAUAUAACAAUCGUGAAUAAUAGUCUUAAGAGAUCGAGAUAUAAAAUUGGAUACGAAAAGAGAAGAUCCUAUCCUGUGAAUAAUACGAAAACUUGAUUUAAAACUGAUACGUUAAUUUUUCACUCAGUCUAACAUAACCUAACUUCGUUCGGUCUUCCGAUUGGCCGAAAUUAUUACGGAUUUUUAUUUAGAGAUAUCGAAGAACAAUGUAUCGACUCGCAGUGACUCGCCCCAACUCGCAUAGCGACGUCUUGACGUCAAUUUUGUUAAUUAAUUCGCCUUCAUUAAAACGAUCGAUCGAGAGACUCGGGUUGACACGUUAGUUACACUUCACCACCGUGAAAACUCGAUUUAACCGCUUAAAGAUUUAUCGGGGACAACCAGUCUCGUCGACUUGUUAUUGCAACGAAAAAUUUUGCGCAUUUAUUGCACACAUUUUCAUCGAUAAUAACAAAACUAACGAAUUAACAAUUUUAAGGAAAAUAGUUUCAAUUUCUGUAAGAUUGAACGUUUAAGAUUUGGAAAUAAUGAUUAUUUUGAGUAACUCGAGAAUUGCAAAUUUUUGGUCGCGAAGCUUUUAUGACGCAUUUACAAUCGAUACAUUCAGUAUGAAAGUUGAAACGACAGAGCAACGAAGCCAUUGUUUUCUCAUAAUGUAUAGCGACUGCAAUCGACACCCGAUACAUCACUGUAUAAAAGAUUAAAAUUUCAGCGGGAAAUGUCUCGCAUUGCAUUAUUUUAACUCUACGAUGAUUUCUAAUCUACGAAUCGUGCCUUCCAAAAAAUCGGAAAGUAUUUUUAAUCGUUAUAAUCAAAUUCUUAAAAAAAAAUAAAAAAAAAAAACGAAAACGAACAACUUCAUUUCAGGAAAUCUCGUUACUCGAAUGAUACGAGGGAACAACUUCGAAGAAUUCCAAUGUUUAAUUAUUCAAUGAGCAUACUUGACGAGAAACAUCGAUGCGCACAAAUGAGAGGAAAUUCCGGACAAAGGAGGAUAUAUAGAAGGCGUAUCGGAAACGAGAUACUCGAAGGAAACACCUAGCUCAUCGGGAUAAUAAGGAAUAUGCUGACGAGAACCGAGACACCAACACCGUGUCGUUGAAUAACAUGUAUGCAUAACUUGCACAGGACACGCGACCCGUACACCUAUACACGCGCCUAUCCAUGUGGAUAUGCAGACAUAUAUACAUACGAAACGAACGAGGAAUAGGAGUGGCCGUAUACUGCAUCGGACAGCUUGUAACUGCGUAUAUUAUUCAUCGGUAAUAAUCAUUCUCCAAAAAUGUAACCAACCGUAAACAGCUUUUUAUAUUAUCGUACAAAACGAUUUCGAUCAAAAAU